AGAGUUUGAUCCUGGCUCAGAACGAACGCCAGCGGCGUGGAUUAGGCAUGCAAGUCGAACGGACACCGUAGCAAUACGGUGUUAGUGGCGGAAGGGUGAGUAAUGCAUAGAUAACCUGCCCCCGAGACCGGGAUAACUUCGGGAAACCGAAGCUAAGACCGGAUGGGAUCGCUGGGUCACCUGGCUCGGCGAUUAAAGGA
rnacentral:rRNA from 1 species